rnacentral:misc_RNA from 1 species
GACGUUACCGGGAUCUAAAAAACUACAAGGUGACGUUGGCAGUCACUGUUUAUGCGAAGUGACGAUCAGUCACGUGCAGUGAAGUCACGUGAUCCUCAGUGACUACGUCAUCGCUGCCUGCCUGCUGUCACGAUGGGUCAAUGGCCAACCGUUCCCUGGGGACUGUGCACUGUUCUGCAUGUGAUGCGCCGAUGGCAUCUUUCCUGCAUCGGGCUACAUUGGCUCUUUCUCAGCGGUGCACAGUGCGUUUUCGGCAAUGAUGGCGCGGUCUACUGUGGCAUCCACCUCCGCGGAGUGAAUGCGCUCAUGCCUGAACUGAAGGAACCGAGUCGGCGUUGAGCAAAGCAACUCCAGGAAUGGUCGGAACGUGGCUGACCUGAAGAUUUGCGCAGUCUACUGUGGCAUCCACCUCCCCAAGGAAAGCACAGAAGUCGUGGUCGUUCCCAAGACACCGAAUCGACGUUAAGCAAAGGGAACUCGCGGUAUACGUCACUGCUGAGGCCAAUGCCGCUGGAACUUGCUCAGCGGUUUUGGGUGUCGACAGCUAUGGCACCGUGUUCCAGGUUCUGAACUUCGGCGAUAAGGUUCGACGUUUCGGGGUGAGGCCACUCAUUUGCGUGGAAGCGGACGGUGUCCACCCGCUGUGGCCGUCAGUCACGUGCUGCGAAGAUGCGCCGUUACGCACUCGUCCGCGACGGUUGCUGCCAUCGCUGCACCCCUGGCAAUAUGGAUGCAUGGUGGCCGACGUCGACGUUACCGGGGUCUAAAAAACUGCAAGGUGACGUAGACAGUCAUUGUCUAUGCGAAGUGACGAUCAGUCACGUGCAGUGGUGAAGUCACGUGAUCCUCAGUGACUCCGUCAUCGCUGCCUGCCUGCUGUCACGAUGGGUCAAUGGCCAACCGUUCCCUGGGGACUGUGCACUGUUCGGCAUGUGAUGCGCCGAUGGCAUCUUUCCUGCAUCGGGCUACAAUGGCUCUUUCUCAGCGGUGCACAGUGCGUUUCCGGGGAUGAUGGCGUGGUCUACUGUGGCAUCCAACUCCGCGGAGCGAACGCGGCCACGUCUGAAGUGAAGGAACCGAGUCGGCGUUGAGCUAAGCAACGCCAGGAAUGGUCGAAAUUUGGCUGACCUGGAGGAUUGCGCGUCCUACUCUGGCAUCCACCUCCAAGAAAAGCACAGCGAUCGUGGUCAUGCCCCGGAAACAGAGUCGACGUUGAGCAAGGCAUGUUUCGCCAUGAGCCACUGCCGAGGCCAAUGCCGCUGAAAUACGCUGUUCCGUUUUGGAUGUCGGGAG